GAUGAACGCUGGCGGCGUGCCUAAUACAUGCCAGUCGAGCGAACGGACGAGAAGCUUGCUUCUCUGAUGUUAGCGGCGGACGGGUGAGUAACACGUGGAUAACCUACCUAUAAGACUGGGAUAACUUCGGGAAACCGGAGCUAAUACCGGAUAAUAUUUUGAACCGCAUGGUUCAAAAGUGAAAGACGGUCUUGCUGUCACUUAUAGAUGGAUCCGCGCUGCAUUAGCUAGUUGGUAAGGUAACGGCUUACCAAGGCAACGAUGCAUAGCCGAUCUGAGAGGGUGAUCGCCCACACUGGAACUGAGACACGGUCCAGACUCCUACGGGAGGCAGCAGUAGGGAAUAUUCCGCAAUGGGCGAAAGCCUGACGGAGCCACGCCGCGUGAGUGAUGAAGGUCUUCGGAUCGUAAAACUCUGUUAUUAGGGAAGAACAUAUGUGUAAGUAACUGUGCACAUCUUGACGGUACCUAAUCAGAAAGCCACGGCUAACUACGUG
rnacentral:rRNA from 1 species